UACGUAGGGUGCAAGCGUUAAUCGGAAUUACUGGGCGUAAAGCGUGCGCAGGCGGUGAUGUAAGACAGAUGUGAAAUCCCCGGGCUCAACCUGGGAACUGCAUUUGUGACUGCAUCGCUGGAGUGCGGCAGAGGGGGAUGGAAUUCCGCGUGUAGCAGUGAAAUGCGUAGAUAUGCGGAGGAACACCGAUGGCGAAGGCAAUCCCCUGGGCCUGCACUGACGCUCAUGCACGAAAGCUAGGGGAGCAAACGGG
rnacentral:rRNA from 1 species